rnacentral:rRNA from 1 species
UACGGGGGGAGCAAGCGUUGUUCGGAUUUACUGGGCGUAAAGGGCGCGUAGGCGGCCACCGCAAGUCGAUUGUGAAAUCUCCGGGCUUAACCCGGAAAGGUCAACCGAUACUGCGGGGCUAGAGUGCAGAAGGGGCAACUGGAAUUCUCGGUGUAGCGGUGAAAUGCGUAGAUAUCGAGAGGAACACCUGCGGCGAAGGCGGGUAGCUGGGCCAACACUGACGCUGAUGUGCGAAAGCUAGGGGAGCAAACGGG